rnacentral:rRNA from 1 species
AACGAACGCUGGCGGCAUGCCUAACACAUGCAAGUCGAACGAGAUCUUCGGGUCUAGUGGCGCACGGGUGCGUAACGCGUGGGAAUCUGCCCUUUGGUUCAGAAUAACAGUUGGAAACGACUGCCAAUACCGGAUGAUGACCAAAGUCCAAAGAUUUAUCGCCAGAGGAUGAGCCCGCGUAGGAUUAGCUAGUUGGUGUGGUAAAGGCGCACCAAGGCGACGAUCCUUAGCUGGUCUGAGAGGAUGAUCAGCCACACUGGGACUGAGACACGGCCCAGACUCCUACGGGAGGCAGCAGUGGGGAAUAUUGGACAAUGGGCGAAAGCCUGAUCCAGCAAUGCCGCGUGAGUGAUGAAGGCCUUAGGGUUGUAAAGCUCUUUUACCCGGGAUGAUAAUGACAGUACCGGGAGAAUAAGCUCCGGCUAACUCCGUGCCAGCAGCCGCGGUAA